rnacentral:misc_RNA from 1 species
GCAUCAAAGGAAAGCUGAGAUGGCACGUCAAGCUGAUGCCUUUAUAGCCCUUCCAGGGGGCUAUGGCACCCUUGAAGAAUUGUUGGAAGUCAUUACAUGGGCGCAGCUUGGUAUUCAUCGCAAACCUGUGGGCCUUUUGAAUGUUGAUGGCUACUAUAAUUCAUUGUUGUCUUUCAUUGACAAAGCCGUUGAUGAGGGCUUUAUAUCUACUACUGCACGGCGCAUUAUCGUUUCUGCACCAGCUGCCAAGCAAUUGGUCAGACAACUUGAGGAAUACGAACCAGAGUACGAUGAAAUAACUUCGAAGCUGGUAUGGGAGGAAGUUGACAGACUAAAUUAUGUGCCCGGAUCAGGAGUGGCUACCUCAUAGCCAUUGGAGUAUAUGCAAAUGGAUCAUUUUGAGCUUUUUGCUUAUUUGGUAUAUACUUACUCGUAUACGGUGUAGAAUACCGUACAUGUGGAGCACGGUGAGUAUGUAGGUGGUUUCGUUUUUGGAACUCGGUCAGCACAUUGUCUCUAUCAAAUGAGAAAAGAAAAUGUAUACGUGUUUGUGGAGAAAGAAAAUGUUUGUUUCUUUCCCUUUUUUGUGAAAACUGAAGACAGGAAUCAGUUCAAUGAAAUAGC